rnacentral:rRNA from 1 species
UACGUAGGGUGCAGGCGUUAAUCGGAAUUACUGGGCGUAAAGCGUGCGCAGGCGGUUUCUUAAGUCAGAUGUGAAAGCCCCGGGCUCAACCUGGGAACUGCAUUGGAAACUAACGGGCUCGAGUGUGGCAGAGGGGGGUGGAAUUCCACGUGUAGCAGUGAAAUGCGUAGAGAUGUGGAGGAACACCGAUGGCGAAGGCAGCCCCCUGGGCUAACACUGACGCUCAGGCACGAAAGCGUGGGGAGCAAACAGG